rnacentral:rRNA from 1 species
CAAAACUUUCAACAACGGAUCUCUUGGCUCUGGCAUCGAUGAAGAACGCAGCGAAAUGCGAUAAGUAAUGUGAAUUGCAGAAUUCAGUGAAUCAUCGAAUCUUUGAACGCACAUUGCGCCCGCCAGCAUUCUGGCGGGCAUGCCUGUUCGAGC